rnacentral:rRNA from 1 species
GAUGAACGCUGGCGGCGUGCCUAAUACAUGCAAGUCGAGCGAACGGACGAGGAGCUUGCUUCUCUGAUGUUAGCGGCGGACGGGUGAGUAACACGUGGAUAACCUACCUAUAAGACUGGGAUAACUUCGGGAAACCGGAGCUAAUACCGGAUGAUAUUUUGAACCGCAUGGUUCAAAAGUGAAAGACGGUCUUGCUGUCACUAAUAGCUGGAUCCGCGCUGCAUUAGCUAGUUGGUAAGGUAACGGCUUACCAAGGCAACGAUGCAUAGCCGACCUGAGGGGGUGAUCGGCCACCCUGGAACUGAGACAGGGUCCAGACUCCUACGGGAGGCAGCAGUAGGGAAUCUUACGCAAUGGGGGAGAGCCUGACGGAGCAACGCCGCGUGAGUGAUGAAGGUCUUCGGAUCGGAAAGCUCUGUUAUUAGGGAAGAACAUAUGUGUAAGUAACUGUGCACAUAUUGACGGUACCUAAUCAGAAAGCCACGGCUAACUACGUG